GGUCAAGCUACAAAGGGCGCACGGCGGAUGCCUAGGCGUCACGGGCCGAUGAAGGACGUGGCAAGACUGCGAAAAGCUCCGGCUAGCUGUCUAGCAAGCUCAACCGGAGAUCUCCGAAUGGGGCAACCCGGCCCGCUUUAUCGCGGGUCACGACCGGCUGAACACAUAGGCCGGAUCGAGGGAACCGGGGGAACUGAAACAUCUCAGUACCCCGAGGAAAAGAAACGAUUCCCCUAGUAGCGGCGAGCGAACGGGGAGAAGCCCAAACCGUCCUCUACGGAGGGCGGGGUUGCAGGACCGGCAGAACGGAGCACGGCAUGGAUAGCCGAAGGACCUGGAACGGUCCGCCACAGGGGGUGAGAGUCCCGUAGGCGAAAUCCAUCCGGCCCAGGCCGGGAUCCUGAGUACCUCGGGACACGAGGAAUCCCGUGGGAAGCUGGGGAGACCACUCUCCAAGGCUAAAUACCCGUGGCGACCGAUAGUGAACCAGUACCGUGAGGGAAAGGUGAAAAGCACCCCGGAAGGGGAGUGAAAUAGUCCCUGAAACCGUGUGCCUACAAGCAGUCGGAGCCUGGCUACGGCCGGGUGACGGCGUGCCUAUUGAAGAAUGAGCCGACGAGUUACGCUUCGUGGCGAGGUUAAGCGACGGGAGUCGCGGAGCCGGAGCGAAAGCGAGUCUGAACAGGGCGUUUGGAGUCGCGGGGCGUAGACCCGAAACCUGGUGAGCUACCCAUGGGCAGCGUGAAGCGAGGGUAAGACCUCGUGGAGGCGCGAACCUUUUUACGUUGCAAAGUGACUGGAUGACCUGUGGGUAGGGGUGAAAUGCUAAUCGAACCAGGAGAUAGCUGGUUCUCCCCGAAAUGCGUUUAGGCGCAGCCUCGUGUGAUGUGCACUGGAGGUAGGGCUCUGGUUGGGCUAGGGGGCUUACCGCUUACCAAACCCAUCCAAACCGCGAAUGCCAGUGCAUAAGAAUACGGGAGUGAGACAGCGGGGGCUAAGCUUCGUUGUCGAAAGGGAAACAGCCCAGACCCUCGGCUAAGGCCCCUAAAUCCAUGCUUAGUGUGAAAGGAUGUCCGGUCGCAAAGACAGCCAGGAUGUUGGCCCAGAAGCAGCCAUCAUUGAAAGAGUGAGUAAC
rnacentral:rRNA from 1 species